AACGAACGCUGGCGGCAGGCCUAACACAUGCAAGUCGAGCGCGCCCUUCGGGGUGAGCGGCGGACGGGUGAGUAACGCGUGGGAACGUGCCCUUUGCUACGGAAUAGUCUCGGGAAACUGGGGGUAAUACCGUAUGUGCCCUUCGGGGGAAAGAUUUAUCGGCAAAGGAUCGGCCCGCGUUGGAUUAGGUAGUUGGUGGGGUAAUGGCCCACCAAGCCGACGAUCCAUAGCUGGUUUGAGAGGAUGAUCAGCCACACUGGGACUGAGACACGGCCCAGACUCCUACGGGAGGCAGCAGUGGGGAAUCUUAGACAAUGGGCGCAAGCCUGAUCUAGCCAUGCCGCGUGGGCGAUGAAAGGCCUUAGGGUUGUAAAGCUCUUUCGUGGGGGAAGAUAAUGACUGUACCCCAAGAAGAAGCCCCGGCUAACUCCGUG
rnacentral:rRNA from 1 species